GCCUCAGUAGCUCAGUUGGUAGAGCGCGUGCUUGGUAAGCACGAGGUCGUGAGUCCAACUCUCACCUGAGGCU
rnacentral:tRNA from 11 species